CCAAGACAACUUUACGGAGUUGACGAUUGACGGAGCGAAGCGACGUCAAAGCGUUCAUUAAAGUCGAGUUGGCUUAGGGAUACGUUCGUUGGGUAGGGGAGCGUUCUGUAAGCCUGUGAAGGUGUGUCGUGAGGCAUGCUGGAGGUAUCAGAAGUGCGAAUGCUGACAUAAGUAACGAUAAAGCGGGUGAAAAGCCCGCUCGCCGGAAGACCAAGGGUUCCUGUCCAACGUUAAUCGGGGCAGGGUGAGUCGACCCCUAAGGCGAGGCCGAAAGGCGUAGUCGAUGGGAAACGGGUUAAUAUUCCCGUACUUGGUGUUACUGCGAAGGGGGGACGGAGAAGGCUAUGUUGGCCGGGCGACGGUUGUCCCGGUUUAAGCGUGUAGGUGUGUGUUCCAGGUAAAUCCGGUUCACUUUAACACUGAGGCGUGACGACGAGGCACUACGGUGCUGAAGCAACAAAUGCCCUGCUUCCAGGAAAAGCCUCUAAGCAUCAGGUAACACGAAAUCGUACCCCAAACCGACACAGGUGGUCAGGUAGAGAAUACCAAGGCGCUUGAGAGAACUCGGGUGAAGGAACUAGGCAAAAUGGUGCCGUAACUUCGGGAGAAGGCACGCUGACACGUAGGUGAAGUGAUUUACUCAUGGAGCUGAAGUCAGUCGAAGAUACCAGCUGGCUGCAACUGUUUAUUAAAAACACAGCACUGUGCAAACACGAAAGUGGACGUAUACGGUGUGACGCCUGCCCGGUGCCGGAAGGUUAAUUGAUGGGGUCAGCGUAAGCGAAGCUCCUGAUCGAAGCCCCGGUAAACGGCGGCCGUAACUAUAACGGUCCUAAGGUAGCGAAAUUCCUUGUCGGGUAAGUUCCGACCUGCACGAAUGGCGUAAUGAUGGCCAGGCUGUCUCCACCCGAGACUCAGUGAAAUUGAACUCGCUGUGAAGAUGCAGUGUACCCGCGGCAAGACGGAAAGACCCCGUGAACCUUUACUAUAGCUUGACACUGAACAUUGAGCCUUGAUGUGUAGGAUAGGUGGGAGGCUUUGAAGUGUGGACGCCAGUCUGCAUGGAGCCGACCUUGAAAUACCACCCUUUAAUGUUUGAUGUUCUAACGUGGACCCGUAAUCCGGGUUGCGGACAGUGUCUGGUGGGUAGUUUGACUGGGGCGGUCUCCUCCUAAAGAGUAACGGAGGAGCACGAAGGUUGGCUAAUCCUGGUCGGACAUCAGGAGGUUAGUGCAAUGGCAUAAGCCAGCUUGACUGCGAGCGUGACGGCGCGAGCAGGUGCGAAAGCAGGUCAUAGUGAUCCGGUGGUUCUGAAUGGAAGGGCCAUCGCUCAACGGAUAAAAGGUACUCCGGGGAUAACAGGCUGAUACCGCCCAAGAGUUCAUAUCGACGGCGGUGUUUGGCACCUCGAUGUCGGCUCAUCACAUCCUGGGGCUGAAGUAGGUCCCAAGGGUAUGGCUGUUCGCCAUUUAAAGUGGUACGCGAGCUGGGUUUAGAACGUCGUGAGACAGUUCGGUCCCUAUCUGCCGUGGGCGCUGGAGAACUGAGGGGGGCUGCUCCUAGUACGAGAGGACCGGAGUGGACGCAUCACUGGUGUUCGGGUUGUCAUGCCAAUGGCACUGCCCGGUAGCUAAAUGCGGAAGAGAUAAGUGCUGAAAGCAUCUAAGCACGAAACUUGCCCCGAGAUGAGUUCUCCCUGAGACUUAGAGUCUCCUGAAGGAACGUUGAAGACGACGACGUUGAUAGGCCGGGUGUGUAAGCGCAGCGAUGCGUUGAGCUAACCGGUACUAAUGAACCGUGAGGCUUAACCUU
rnacentral:rRNA from 1 species